rnacentral:rRNA from 1 species
GACAGAGGGUGCAAACGUUGUUCGGAUUUACUGGGCGUAAAGCGUGUGUAGGCGGCUUGGCAAGUUGGAUGUGAAAGCCCACGGCUCAACCGUGGAAGCGCAUCCAAAACUGCUUCGCUCGAGUCUCGGAGAGGAAGGUGGAAUGCUUGGUGUAGAGGUGAAAUGCGUAGAUAUCAGGAGGAACACCUGCGGUGUAGACGGCUUUCUGGACCAUAACUGACGCUGAGAUACGAAAGCGUGGGUAGCAAACAGG